rnacentral:lncRNA from 1 species
UUUUUUGCUUGAUAAGUCUGGCUAGGGGUUUAUCAAUUUUGUUGAUCUUUUCCAAGAUCCAGCUUGUCAUUUCAUUGAUCUUGUCUAUGGUUUUCUUUGUUUCUAUUUUGUUGAUUUCUGCUCUGAUAUUUAUGAUUUCUUUCCUUCUACUAACUUAAGGUCUUGUCUGCUCUUCACUCUCAAGCUGCUUUAGAUAUAAAGUUAGCUUGUUUAUUUGAGCUUUUUCUUGUUUGCUGAGGUGGGCUUGUAUCGCUAUAAACUUUUCUCUUAGAACAGCUUUUGGUGCAUCCCAUAGGUUUUGGAUGUCGUAUCUUCGUUGUCAUUUGCUUCUAGGUAUUUUUUAAUUUCCUCUUUGAUUUCUUCAGUGAUCCAGUGGUUGUUUAGUAGCAUGUUGUUGAGUCUCCACUUGUUUGUGUUUUUUGCAGUUUUUUUCUUGUUGUUGAUUUCCAGUCGUAUGGCAUUGUGGUCAGAAAAGAUGCUUGAAAUGAUUUCAAUUUUCUUAAAGUUACUGAGGUUGGAUUUGUAGCCCAGGAUAUGGUCAAUGUUAGAGAAUGUUCCAUGUGCACUUCAGAAGAAUGUGUAUUCUGUUUCUUUUGGAUGGAAUGUCCUAUAAAUAUCUAUUAAGUCCAUCUGGUUUAAUGCUUCAUUCAGGGUCUGUGUUUUCUUAUGGAUUUUCUGUCUGGUUGAUCUGUCCAUCGCUGUAAGUGGGGUGUUAAAGUCCCCCACUCUGAUUGUGUUACUGUCAGUUUCUCAUUUUAAGGUUGUUAGCAGUUGCCUUAUAUAUGGUGGUGAAUCUGUGUUGGGUGCGUAAAUAUUUAAAAUUGUUAUAUCUUCUUGGAUUGAUCCUUUGAUCAUUAUGUAAUGAGCUUCUUUGUCCCUGAAAAUAUUCUUCAUUUUAAAGUCUAUUUUGUCUGAUAUGAGUAUUGCUACUCCAGCUUUCUUUUGAUCCCCGUUUGCAUGAAAUAUUUUCUUCCAUCCUCUCACUUUCAAUUUGUAUGUGUCCCUAGAAAUGAAGUGGGUCUCUUGAAGACAGCAUAUAUAUGGGUCUUGUUUAUGUAUCCAUUCAGCCAGUCUAUUUCUUUUGGUUGGGGCGUUUAGUCCAUUAACAGCUAAGGUAAUUAUUGAUAUGUAUGUUCUUAUUGCCAUUUUAUUAAUUACUUUGGAUUUGUUUUUGCUGCUCUUUUUCCUUUCCUUCUUUUCUUGUUCUUUUCUGCCUAGAGAUGUUCCUUUAGUAUUUGUUGUAAGGCUGGUUUAGUGUUGCUGAAAUCUGUCAGCUUUUGCUUAUCUGAGAAGGUUUUGAUUUCUCCUUCAAAUCUGAUCGAGAGCCUUGCUGGGUAGAGUAGUCUUAUUUGGAGGUUUUUUCCCUUUCAUCACAUUGAGUAUAUCAUGCUACUCCCUUCUGGCCUGCAGAGUUUCUAUUGAAAAAUCUACCGAUAGCCUUAUCGGGGUUCCUUUGUAUGUUAUUUGUUUCUUUUCCAUAGCUGCUUUCAAGAUUUUCUCUUUGUCUUUAAUUUUGGUCAGUUUGAUUAGUAUGUGUCUCGGGGUGUUCCUCCUUGGGUUUAUUUUGUAUGGCACUCAUUGUGCCUCCUGGAUUUGAGUGAGUGAUUCCUUCCCCAUGUUAGGGAAGAUUUCAGCUAUUAUCUCUUGGAAUAUUUUUUCUGUCUCCUUCUCACUCUCUUCUCCUUCUGGCCCCCCUAUAAUUCGGAUGUUGGUGCGUUUCACGCUGUCCCAGAGUUCUCUGAGACUCUCUUCAUUUGUUUUCAAUCUUUUUUCUCUUUUCUCUUCUGCAUCCGUAAUUUCCACUAAUCUGUCCUCCACCUCGCUUAUUCGUUCUUCUGCCUCCUGUAUUCUGCUGUUAGCUGCUUCUAGUGAAUUUUAUAUUUCAGUUAUUGUAUUUUGCAUCUCUUCUUGUUUAAGUUUUAUAUCUUGUAUCUCUUUGCUCAGUGUUUCCUGUAAGUUAUCCAUCAUUGCCUCCAGUUUAUUUCCAAUGUCUUGCAUCAUCUUCAGCAUCAACAGUCUAAAGUCUAUUUCCUGGAGGCUGAGAAUCUCCUCAUGGAUUAGCUGUUUUUCUGGGGUUUUUCCUUUCUCCCUCAUCUGAGUUAUAGUUCUCUGUCUUUUCAUUUUUAUAGGUUUUAUGUGUGGUGACCUCUUUACAGAUAAUAGAGUUGCAGCUUCUCUUACUUCUGAUGUCUGCCCCCCUGUGGCUGAAGUCAGUAUGGGGGCUUGGUGUAGGCUUCCUGAUGGGAGGGGCUGAUGCCUGCCCCCUGGUAGGAGGAGCCGAUUCUAAUCCCUCUGGUGGGUGGGGCUUAGUCUCUGGAUGGGAUUAGAGGUAGCUGUGUGCCUGAGGGGUCUUUAGGUAGCCUGUUUACUGAGGGGCAGGGCUGUGAUCCCACCUGGGUUGUUGUUUGCCCUGGGGCUUCUCAGUGGCUGGCUGAUGGGUGGGACCAGAUUUUCCCUAAAUGACCACCUCCAGAGAAAGGCACUGCUGCUGAAUAUUCCAGAGAGCUUUGCUUUCAAUGUCCUUCCCUCACAACCAGCCACUUUCACCCCUGUUUUCCCAGGAUGUCCUCCAAGAACUGCAGUCAGGCUUGACCCAGAUUCCCUUGGAGACUUUGCUUUGCCCUGGGACUCAGUGCAUGUGAAAGUCUGUGUGUGGCUUUUAAGAAUGGGGUCUCUGUUUCCCCCAGUCCCAUGGAGCUCUUGCACACAAGCCCCACUGGCUUUAAAUGCCAGAUGCUCCAGGGCUAUUUCUCCCUGUGCCAGAACCCCACACGUGAGAGUUUGAUGUGUGGCUCAGACCUCUCAGUCCUGUAGGUGAGUCUCUGUGAACCAGUUAGUUUCCAGUCCGUGGAACUUCCCACCCAGGAGGCAUGGGGUUGUUUAUAUCACAAAAUCACCCCUCCUACCUCUUGAUGUGGCCUCCUCUUUUUCUUCUGGAGUAGGGUAUCUUUUUUAAGGUUUCCAUUCCAUUUUGGUGAAGUGAGCUCAGUCUAUAGUUGUGAAUUUUGUUGUUUUUAGUAGAGAAGUUGAGCUCCAGUCCUUCUAUUCUGCCAUCUUAAUCCC